rnacentral:tRNA from 1 species
GAAUGCAGCUCAGUGUUAGAGUACUUGCCUAUCAUGCAUGAGGCUCUGGAUUUGAUUUUCAGCAUUC